rnacentral:lncRNA from 1 species
CAGGUCUAACAGAGAAUUAGUAUUUAUACUGACUCCAAAUAUGCCUACCUAAUCCUGCAUGCACAUGCAGCAAUUUGGAAAGAAAGAGGAUUUCAAACUACUGGGGGAAUGUCUAUAAAGAACUAUGAGCAAAUCUUAAGACUGCUAUAAGCUGUCCAUUUACCCAAAGAGGUAGCAGUAAUUCAUUGCCAAGGACAUCAAAAAGGAAUAGAUGAAAUAGCAGAAGGGAACAGACUAGCAGACCAACAAGCCAAGGAGGCUGCUAAGGGUAAUUCACAGAUAACUACCUUAGCCCCUUUGAUAUGGAAAGGCCAUCCCCCAGAGAUAAGACCUCAGUACACCCAGGAGGAAACUAACAAGGCACUAUCUAAGGGAGGUAUUCUUUUACCCUCUGGGUGGAUUCAAAUGGAAGAUGACAAAUUUUAUUUACC